rnacentral:rRNA from 1 species
CAGUCGUACUAACGGGAAAUCAACCUAUUUGAGUUUGUGAGGUUUGGAUUCCGAAGAGUGUAAACCUUCGGGUUCGAAUAUUUGCUGCCUUUUAGGCAUAAUUUCUCGUUCGGUAGGUUAACAUCGAUUUUGAAGAUUAUAAAAUGACCGGAGGAAUGUAGCUUCGAUCUCGUAUUGAAGUGUUAUAGCCUUCGGCAGAUGUGAUGAUCGAGAUUGAGGAUUGCAACGGAUACCCUUCGGGGCUACCUGUCUGAUCUCUGAUCGUUGCUCUCGGUACCGAAAGCGUGCUUACGGUUAUCAAAGUCGAU